rnacentral:rRNA from 1 species
GACGAACGCUGGCGGCGUGCUUAACACAUGCAAGUCGAACGGUAAGGCCCUUCGGGGUACACGAGUGGCGAACGGGUGAGUAACACGUGGGUGAUCUGCCCUGCACUUCGGGAUAAGCCUGGGAAACUGGGUCUAAUACCGGAUAGGACCCUGGGAUGCAUGUCCUGGGGUGGAAGGCUGUUGCGGUGUGGGAUGGGCCCGCGGCCUAUCAGCUUGUUGGUGGGGUGAUGGCCUACCAAGGCGACGACGGGUAGCCGGCCUGAGGGGGAGACCGGCCACACUGGGACUGAGAUACGGCCCAGACUCCUACGGGAGGCAGCAGUGGGGAAUAUUGCACAAUGGGCGCAAGCCUGAUGCAGCGACGCCGCGUGAGGGAAGACGGCCUUCGGGUUGUAGACCUCUUUCAGCACCGACGAAGCGCAAGUGACGGUAGGUGCAGAAGAAGGACCGGCCAACUACGUGCCAGCCGCCGCCGUAA